rnacentral:rRNA from 1 species
GAUGAACGCUGGCGGCGUGCCUAAUACAUGCAAGUCGAGCGAACGGACGAGAAGCUUGCUUCUCUGAUGUUAGCGGCGGACGGGUGAGUAACACGUGGAUAACCUACCUAUAAGACUGGGAUAACUUCGGGAAACCGGAGCUAAUACCGGAUGACAUUUUGAACCGCAUGGUUCAAAAGUGAAAGACGGUCUUGCUGUCACUUAUAGAUGGAUCCGCGCUGCAUUAGCUAGUUGGUAAGGUAACGGCUUACCAAGGCAACGAUGCAUAGCCGACCUGAGAGGGUGAUCGGCCACACUGGAACUGAGACACGGUCCAGACUCCUACGGGAGGCAGCAGUAGGGAAUCUUCCGCAAUGGGCGAAAGCCUGACGGAGCAACGCCGCGUGAGUGAUGAAGGUCUUCGGAUCGUAAAACUCUGUUAUUAGGGAAGAACAUAUGUGUAAGUAACUGUGCACAUCUUGACGGUACCUAAUCAGAAAGCCACGGCUAACUACGUGCCAGCAGCCGCGGUAAUACGUAGGUGGCAAGCGUUAUCCGGAAUUAUUGGGCGUAAAGCGCGCGUAGGCGGUUUUUUAAGUCUGAUGUGAAAGCCCACGGCUCAACCGUGGAGGGUCAUUGGAAACUGGAAAACUUGAGUGCAGAAGAGGAAAGUGGAAUUCCAUGUGUAGCGGUGAAAUGCGCAGAGAUAUGGAGGAACACCAGUGGCGAAGGCGACUUUCUGGUCUGUAACUGACGCUGAUGUGCGAAAGCGUGGGGAUCAAACAGGAUUAGAUACCCUGGUAGUCCACGCCGUAAACGAUGAGUGCUAAGUGUUAGGGGGUUUCCGCCCCUUAGUGCUGCAGCUAACGCAUUAAGCACUCCGCCUGGGGAGUACGACCGCAAGGUUGAAACUCAAAGGAAUUGACGGGGACCCGCACAAGCGGUGGAGCAUGUGGUUUAAUUCGAAGCAACGCGAAGAACCUUACCAAAUCUUGACAUCCUUUGACAACUCUAGAGAUAGAGCCUUCCCCUUCGGGGGACAAAGUGACAGGUGGUGCAUGGUUGUCGUCAGCUCGUGUCGUGAGAUGUAGGGUUAAGUCCCGCAACGAGCGCAACCCUUAAGCUUAGUUGCCAUCAUUAAGUUGGGCACUCUAAGUUGACUGCCGGUGACAAACCGGAGGAAGGUGGGGAUGACGUCAAAUCGUCAUGCCCCUUAUGAUUUGGGCUACACACGUGCUACAAUGGACAAUACAAAGGGCAGCGAAACCGCGAGGUCAAGCAAAUCCCAUAAAGUUGUUCUCAGUUCGGAUUGUAGUCUGCAACUCGACUACAUGAAGCUGGAAUCGCUAGUAAUCGUAGAUCAGCAUGCUACGGUGAAUACGUUCCCGGGUCU